rnacentral:rRNA from 1 species
UACGAGGGGAGCAAGCGUUGUUUGGAUUUACUGGGCGUAAAGGGCGCGUAGGCGGCCACGACAAGUCACUUGUGAAAUCUCCGGGCUUAACUCGGAACGGUCAAGUGAUACUGUCGGGCUAGAGUACAGAAGGGGCAACUGGAAUUCUCGGUGUAGCGGUGAAAUGCGUAGAUAUCGAGAGGAACACCUGCGGCGAAGGCGGGUUGCUGGGCUGAUACUGACGCUGAUGCGCGAAAGCCAGGGGAGCAAACAGG